GGGACACGUGGUAUCCUGUCUGAAUAUGGGGGGACCAUCCUCCAAGGCUAAAUACUCCUGACUGACCGAUAGUGAACCAGUACCGUGAGGGAAAGGCGAAAAGAACCCCGGCGAGGGGAGUGAAAAAGAACCUGAAACCGUGUACGUACAAGCAGUGGGAGCACGCUUAGGCGUGUGACUGCGUACCUUUUGUAUAAUGGGUCAGCGACUUAUAUUCUGUAGCAAGGUUAACCGAAUAGGGGAGCCGAAGGGAAACCGAGUCUUAACUGGGCGUUAAGUUGCAGGGUAUAGACCCGAAACCCGGUGAUCUAGCCAUGGGCAGGUUGAAGGUUGGGUAACACUAACUGGAGGACCGAACCGACUAAUGUUGAAAAAUUAGCGGAUGACUUGUGGCUGGGGGUGAAAGGCCAAUCAAACCGGGAGAUAGCUGGUUCUCCCCGAAAGCUAUUUAGGUAGCGCCUCGUGAAUUCAUCUCCGGGGGUAGAGCACUGUUUCGGCAAGGGGGUCAUCCCGACUUACCAACCCGAUGCAAACUGCGAAUACCGGAGAAUGUUAUCACGGGAGACACACGGCGGGUGCUAACGUCCGUCGUGAAGAGGGAAACAACCCAGACCGCCAGCUAAGGUCCCAAAGUCAUGGUUAAGUGGGAAACGAUGUGGGAAGGCCCAGACAGCCAGGAUGUUGGCUUAGAAGCAGCCAUCAUUUAAAGAAAGCGUAAUAGCUCACUGGUCGAGUCGGCCUGCGCGGAAGAUGUAACGGGGCUAAACCAUGCACCGAAGCUGCGGCAGCGACGCUGAUGCGUUGU
rnacentral:rRNA from 1 species